UGUGUGUGUGUGUGUGUGUGUUCUUGUGGCUAGCAGUCGGAAAAAAAUGACUGCAAAAAUUGGGAUGUUAUUUGGUUCAUUGGUCAUCUUUUUGCAUUUAUGUCUUGCCUAUUGUUACACUUGCUUUGGACAUUGGAAACUAUAUGGUCUCUAAUUGUUUAUGUAUUUGUUUGUUAUUGUUCUUUGUUUGAAUAAUUCAUUCUUUUAUUAUUUCAAAUUCUCUUUAAUUUUCAGCUUUCUGUUAUAUUUUAGUUCAUUGUAAUGAUUGCCUAUGUGCCAUUUUCUUGAAUUCUCCUUGAAUAUUGUUCUUUAGUAAUCAUCAAGAUAUCUAAGUCAG
rnacentral:misc_RNA from 1 species